GAGUUUGAUCUUGGCUCAGAUUGAACGCUGGCGGCAUGCCUUACACAUGCAAGUCGAACGGCAGCACGGGAGCUUGCUCCUGGUGGCGAGUGGCGAACGGGUGAGUAAUGCAUCGGAACGUAUCCUGGAGUGGGGGAUAACGUAGCGAAAGUUACGCUAAUACCGCAUAUUCUGUGAGCAGGAAAAGCGGGGGACCUUUCGGGGCCUCGCGCUCUUGGAGCGGCCGAUGUCGGAUUAGCUAGUUGGUGAGGUAAAGGCUCACCAAGGCGACGAUCCGUAGCAGGUCUGAGAGGAUGAUCUGCCACACUGGAACUGAGACACGGUCCAGACUCCUACGGGAGGCAGCAGUGGGGAAUUUUUGGACAAUGGGGGCAACCCUGAUCCAGCCAUGCGCGUGAGUGAGAAG
rnacentral:rRNA from 1 species